CAACAACAACAACUUGGCUGUAACACUUGAGAAGUUUAUUGAUUACACAGUCACUAAUGAACUAUGUUUGAAGACCUGUAUGAGUAUGAUUCUGAAGGAACUGAUGGCAGUGAUGCAGUUAUAGAGAUUUCAGAUUCGGACGAAACUUUGCCGCCAUCUGACAAAGAAACACAGCCACCUCUGGAGGAAUGUGGACAGGAAGAUGAAUGGUCCCAGU